GACGAACCGAGCGAACGUUGUUCGGAAUCACUGGGCUUAAAGGGCGCGUAGGCGGGCGGCCGCGUCCGGGGUGAAAUCCUCCCGCCCAACGGGAGAACGGCCUCGGAUACGGGCGGCCUCGAGGGGGGUAGGGGCAGGCGGAACUGUGGGUGGAGCGGUGAAAUGCGUUGAGAUCCACAGGAACUCCGGUGGCGAAGGCGGCCUGCUGGACCCCUCUUGACGCUGAGGCGCGAAAGCCAGGGGAGCGAACGGG
rnacentral:rRNA from 1 species